UUUUAGCCCCGAUAGCAGCGACAUCCCACGCUUUUUUGCGUGGAUAUAGCGGAUAGCGGGAAAUAGC
rnacentral:sRNA from 2 species